GAUGAACGCUGGCGGCGUGCUUAACACAUGCAAGUCGAGCGAACAGACCAGGAGUUUGCUCCGGUGUCGUUAGCCGCGGAUGGGUGAGUAACACGUGGAUAACCUACCUAUAAGACUGGGAUAACUUCGGGAAACGGGAACCAAUGUCGGAUAAUAUAUUGAACCGCAUGGUUCAAUAGUGAAAGACGGUUUUUCUGUCACUUAUAGAGGGUUACGCGCCGCAUUAUCUGGUUGUUAGGGUAGCGGGUUACCACGGCAACGAUGGGUAGCCGACGGGAGAGGGUGAUCGGCCACACUGGAACUGGGACACGGUCCCGACUCCUACGGGAGGGAGCAGUAGGGAAUCUGCCGCAAGGGGCGAAAGCCUAACGCAGCAGCAGCGAGUCCGUGAUGGAGGUCUCGGGCUCGGAAAACUCUGUUACUAGGGAAGAACAGAUGUGUACGUAGCUAUAAACGUCUUGACGGUACCUGAUCAAAAAGCAACGGCUAACUACGUG
rnacentral:rRNA from 1 species